rnacentral:rRNA from 1 species
CUUGCUAUCCAGAGAGCGGCGUACGGGUGCGUAACACGUGUGCAACCUGCCUUUAUCUGGGGGAUAGCCUUUCGAAAGGAAGAUUAAUACCCCAUAAUAUGGUGUCCGGCAUCGGUCGCCAUUGAAAGCCUCGGCGGAUAGAGAUGGGCACGCGCAAGAUUAGAUAGUUGGCGGGGUAACGGCCCACCAAGUCGAUGAUCUUUAGGGGUCCUGAGAGGGAGAUCCCCCACACUGGUACUGAGACACGGACCAGACUCCUACGGGAGGCAGCAGUGAGGAAUAUUGGACAAUGGGUGGAAGCCUGAUCCAGCCAUCCCGCGUGAAGGAUGACGGUCCUAUGGAUUGUAAACUUCUUUUGUACAGGGAUAAACCUGCCCUCGUGAGGGCAGCUGAAGGUACUGUACGAAUAAGCACCGGCUAACUCCGUGCCAGCAGCCGCGGUAAUACGGAGGGUGCGAGCGUUAUCCGGAUUUAUUGGGUUUAAAGGGUCCGUAGGUGGGCCUGUAAGUCAGUGGUGAAAUCUCAUAGCUUAACUAUGAAACUGCCAUUGAUACUGCAGGCCUUGAGUAAAUUUGAAGUGGCUGGAAUAAGUAGUGUAGCGGUGAAAUGCAUAGAUAUUACUUAGAACACCGAUUGCGAAGGCAGGUCACUAAGAUUUAACUGACGCUGAUGGACGAAAGCGUGGGGAGCGAACAGGAUUAGAUACCCUGGUAGUCCACGCCGUAAACGAUGCUAACUCGUUUUUGGAUCUUCGGGUUCAGAGACCAAGCGAAAGUGAUAAGUUAGCCACCUGGGGAGUACGUCCGCAAGGAUGAAACUCAAAGGAAUUGACGGGGGCCCGCACAAGCGGUGGAUUAUGUGGUUUAAUUCGAUGAUACGCGAGGAACCUUACCAAGACUUAAAUGGGAAUUGACAGAUUUAGAAAUAGAUCCUCCUUCGGGCAAUUUUCAAGGUGCUGCAUGGUUGUCGUCAGCUCGUGCCGUGAGGUGUUAGGUUAAGUCCUGCAACGAGCGCAACCCCUGCCAACAGUUGCCAUCAUUCAGUUGGGGACUCUGUUGGGACUGCCUACGCAAGUAGAGAGGAAGGUGGGGAUGACGUCAAAUCAUCACGGCCCUUACGUCUUGGGCCACACACGUAAUACAAUGGCCGGUACAGAGGGCAGCUACCUGGUGACAGGAUGCGAAUCUCGAAAGCCGGUCUCAGUUCGGAUUGGAGUCUGCAACUCGACUCUACGAAGCUGGAAUCGCUAGUAAUCGCGCAUCAGCCAUGGCGCGGUGAAUACGUUCCCGGGCC